rnacentral:rRNA from 1 species
GGGAAUUUUGCGCAAUGGGCGAAAGCCUGACGCAGUAACGCCGCGUGGAGGAUGAAGGUCCUUGGAUUGUAAACUCCUGUCAGCAGGGAAGAAAUGCGCCGACCUAAUACGUCGGUGAGUUGACUGUACCUGCAGAGGAAGCCCCGGCUAACUACGUGCCAGCAGCCGCGGUAAAACGUAGGACGCAAACGUUAUCCGGAAUUACUGGGCGUAAAGCGCGCGCAGGUGGGUGAACAAGUCAUGCGUGAAAGCUCCCGGCUAAACUGGGAGAGGUCGGAUGAUACUGUUCGUCUAGAGUAUGUUAGAGGCGUGUGGAAUUCCGCGUGUAGUGGUGAAAUGCGUAGAGAUGCGGAGGAACACCAGUGGCGAAGGCGGCACGCUGGGACAUUACUGACACUGAGGCGCGAAAGCAUGGGUGGCGA